UACGAAGGGGGCUAGCGUUGCUCGGAAUCACUGGGCGUAAAGCGCACGUAGGCGGAUUGUUAAGUCAGGGGUGAAAUCCUGGAGCUCAACUCCAGAACUGCCUUUGAUACUGGCGAUCUCGAGUCCGGGAGAGGUGAGUGGAACUGCGAGUGUAGAGGUGAAAUUCGUAGAUAUUCGCAAGAACACCAGUGGCGAAGGCGGCUGACUGGUCCGGUUCUGACGCUGAGGUGCGAAAGCGUGGGGAGCAAACAGG
rnacentral:rRNA from 1 species